rnacentral:rRNA from 1 species
AUUGAACGCUGGCGGCAGGCCUAACACAUGCAAGUCGAACGAGCGGCGGACGGGUGAGUAAUGUAUGGGAAACUGCCCGAUGGAGGGGGAUAACUACUGGAAACGGUAGCUAAUACCGCAUACCAUCGGAUGUGCCCAGAUGGGAUUAGCUAGUAGGUGGGGUAAUGGCUCACCUAGGCGACGAUCCCUAGCUGGGCUGAGAGGAUGACCAGCAACACUGGAACUGGAACACGGUCCAGACGCCUACGGGAGGCAGCAGUGGGGAAUAUUGCACAAUGGGCGCAAGCCUGAGCGAGCCAUGCGGCGUGUAUGAAGAAGGCCUUCGGGUUGUAAAGUACUUUCAGCGGGGAGGCGUUACUCGCAGAAGAAGCACCGGCUAACUCCGUGCCAGCCGCCGCGGUAAUAC